UAAGGUCCCAAGUCGCAAAUACAUCACGGGGACGACUAUCCCUGCACUAAAACAUAAAGUAACGGAGCAUGUUUUAGGAAAGCUAGGGGAGGCAGGGACCAUAAGCUUUUCAACUGACAUCUGGAGCAGCCAAGUCUCCCCACUUUCCCUGCUUAGCUUGACAGCCCACUUGGUAAACUUGGAAACAUUCACUCCAGAAAGCGUCAUACUUCAUGCGAAUGAAUUCAAGGGAUCACACACGGGCGAAGCUAUUGCAGGAGCAAUAGAGCGCAUGCUGCUCAACUGGAGCAUCCCGAAGUCAAAGGUAACGUAACUUUUCUAGUCUAGACUUUGAAAGAAAUGCCGCAGUAAUUUGCGGCAGUAAUUUGAGCCGUAGAAGUAAAGGUGUGUGUGUGUGUGUGUGUGUGUGUGUGUGUGUCGUGCUCUCUAUUGCGACUUGUCUAUUUAAGCAAUAUAGCACUCGUGGGAGUGGGGUAGAUAAGGGAUUAUCCCUUACCUACCCCACUCCCACGAGUGCUAUAUUGCUUUUAUAAAACAAUUCUACCGUCAACAAAUUAACAUUUCAACACGAAGAUGCUUUGGUUAAUUUUUAUUAUUAUAAUUACAUUAUUAUUAAUAAUAUUAUUAUUAUUAUUAUUAUUAUUAUUAAAGGUCCAUGCCAUUCUUCGGGACAAUGCAAGCAAUAUGAAGAAGGCAAUGAGGGACCUGGGAGUCUCCAGCCUGGGAUGUUUCUCGCACAUGAUUCAACUCGUGGUGCACGAUGGACUGCUGUCCCAGCGAAGUGUGGGCGAUGCGCUGACCAGUGGGAGAAAAAUAAUUGGGCACUUCAAACAUUCCCCAUUGGCCACAUCAAGACUUGAAACUGUCCAGACGGGACUGGGAAUGCCAGUCAAACGUCUGAUCCAAGAUGUUCCCACCCGCUGGAACAGCACCUUUUAUAUGACUGCGAGCCUGCUGGAGCAAAAGAGUGCCAUCUCACUCUAUGCUGCAGACCACCAGCUCCCAGCAACACUGACAGCAAGUGACUGGACCUUGCUGGAGAAAAUCAACACUCUUCUGGCUCCAUUUGAAGAGAUCAAAAAACAGAUCAGCUUCGCCACCUCCACCACCUCAGAGGUCAUCCCCUCAGUCAUCGUCCUGAAGCGUCUGUUGGCCAAACAGACCACAGAGGACAGCGGGAUAAAAACAAUGAAGGCGACACUUCUAGCAGCUAUGGGCACAAGAUUCCAGACCGUUGAGGCGGAGCCCUUGUACUCUGUUUCAACCAUAUUGGACCCACGUUACAAAGACAGAUACUUCACAAGUGCAGAGAGCAGCAAGCUUGCAAGAAGUGCACUGAGCCAAGAGGUGGAGAAAAAUGAGGAGUCAUCACUGCAGACAACCACCACCGAGGCAGCAGACCCAGCCAGUUAGACCCCACGGAUGACAGCAGAGCCCAACACAAGCAGCUGCUUUAAGGGGCUGUAUGAGGAAUUUCUGCAAGAGCAUGCUGCUGAACAAGGUGGGGCCAGCAGCACAGUUACACAGGUGCAGAUAGAGACAUAUCUGGCUGAGAAAACAAUCCACCGCACAGAGAGCCCAUUCGAGUACUGGGGAAAGAAUAAAGAACGGUUCCCCUCCCUGGCUACUACAGCUGCAAAGUUUCUCUCCGCUCCCUCCACCAGCGUAGAUAGUGAGAGGCUUUUCAGCACAGCUUCUAACAUACUUGAUGAGAAGAGGAAUAGGCUGUCAGGAGAUCAUGUAGAAACACUAAUCAUCCUCAAGAAAAAUCUGCCAAUGUACCUGAGCUUGAACCCCAAAGACUUGAAUCCUCAAAAGUAAACAAGAGUAAACACUACUAGGUGUUGUGUGACAGAUCUGUCACUGAUUAAUGCUAUUUGUUCUUACCUCAGAUACGUUAAAUUAAUGCAGCUAUCUCUCAAAUGUACCUCAUAUGUAUAUUAUUUCUUAUUUUAAUACAAUUUAACGUUCUACUUCUUACUGUUGCACUAGUUUUAUACACUAGUAUUAUGUUAUAAUUUUAUGAAGGUUGCACUAUUUUGGCAUUUGAGAGCCAAAACUCAGGGUUUUUAAGAGUUUGUAAUGUAUUUUUAAUGUAAUAUAAUUUUAAUGUAUUUUACUUUCUUACUGUUGCACUGUUGCACUGUUCACUUCUAUUAUACAUGUUCUAAUUUCAUGAAUGUUGCACUAUGUUGGCCUUUGAGAGCCAAAAGUUUAUUCAGCUAUUGUUGUCACCCAUACCAGGUAGGCAAUAAAAAGUUCUACUGGAUUCA